rnacentral:lncRNA from 1 species
UGUAUAUUUUUCUAUAGUUUUGAAUUUAUAAUCAUAGUACGAAUAUAUUAUAAAUAAUUGAUACUACAACUAUUACUGAUGAUAAAAAUAUUACAUUUUCACUAACAGAAUUAAAUAUUUUCAACCACUCAACUAUGACUUUUGAUAUCUAUAAGUAUUGCUCUAUAAUUAACAUCUUUUCUCAGCUUCCCCAGCUCGCUCUCCUGCUUCCUCACCCGUUAAUCCACGUCAAGUUGAAUCAUUGUUUCUUGGUAGCUUCACUACUGGUCAGGGAGCUGCAACUUCUCCUGCUCGCACCCCCAGUCGUUCUCCUAACGGUACUAACGUUCCUUUCUAUUUCCUUGAUGUGAAUUGUGUUUAUUCAGCUUUGCUUAUAUUAACUCUAAAAAUUAAUUUUCUGUUUUACUAACC